AUUGAACGCUGGCGGCAGGCCUAACACAUGCAAGUCGAACGGUAACAGGAAGAAGCUUGCUUCUUUGCUGACGAGUGGCGGACGGGUGAGUAAUGUCUGGGAAACUGCCUGAUGGAGGGGGAUAACUACUGGAAACGGUAGCUAAUACCGCAUAACGUCGCAAGACCAAAGAGGGGGACCUUCGGGCCUCUUGCCAUCGGAUGUGCCCAGAUGGGAUUAGCUAGUAGGUGGGGUAACGGCUCACCUAGGCGACGAUCCCUAGCUGGUCUGAGAGGAUGACCAGCCACACUGGAACUGAGACACGGUCCAGACUCCUACGGGAGGCAGCAGUGGGGAAUAUUGCACAAUGGGCGCAAGCCUGAUGCAGCCAUGCCGCGUGUAUGAAGAAGGCCUUCGGAUUGUAAAGUACUUUCAGCGGGGAGGAAGGGAGUAAAGUUAAUACCUUUGCUCAUUGACGUUACCCGCAGAAGAAGCACCGGCUAACUCCGUG
rnacentral:rRNA from 1 species